GGGUCCUAGCGUUGUUCGGAAUCACUGGGCGUAAAGCGCAUGUAGGCGGCUUGAUAAGUCAGUUGUGAAAGCCCUGGGCUCAACCCAGGAAGUGCAUCUGAUACUGUCGAGCUUGAGUAUGAGAGAGGGUAGUAGAAUUCCUGGUGUAGUGGUGAAAUACGUAGAUAUCAGGAGGAAUACCGGUGGCGAAGGCGGCUACCUGGCUCAAUACUGACGCUGAGAUGCGAAAGCGUGGGGAUCAAACAGG
rnacentral:rRNA from 1 species